rnacentral:rRNA from 1 species
GCUCCAAUAGCGUAUAUUUAAGUAGUUGCAGUUAAAAAGCUCGUAGUCGGAUUUCGGGUGCUGCCCGGUGUAGCCACGGCGAACGCCGGGUGGGGCCUUCCUUCUGGGAUUCCUCUGCACUCUUUACUGAGUCGGAUGGCGUUCCAGGACGUUUACUGUGAAAAAAUUAGAGUGUUUAAAGCAGGCGAUUGCCGUGAAUACAUUAGCAUGGGAUAAUAGAAUAGGACUUUGGAACUAUUUUGUUGGUUUGGGUUACGAAGUAAUGAUUAAUAGGGACGGUUGGGGGCAUUCGGAUUCCGUUGUCAGAGGUGAAAUUCUUAGAUUAGCGGAAGACGAACAGCUGCGAAAGCGUCUGCCAAGGACGUUUUCAUUGAUCAAGAACGAAAGUUAGGGGAUCGAAGACGAUCAGAUACCGUCGUAGUCUUAACCAUAAACUAUGCCGACUAGGGAUCAGGCGAGCACAAUUGAAACUCGCUUGGCACCCCGAGGGAAACCAAAGUUUUUGGGUUCUGGGGGGAGUAUGGUCGCAAGGC